AGAACGGACUAAAGGUUCUAGCGAGAAACGAGUAGAGGGCAAGUCUGGUGCCAGCAGCCGCGGUAAUACCAGCUCUACUAGCAUAUAUUAAAUUUGCUGCAGUUAAAACGCUCGUAGUUUGAGUUAUUGGAGUAGGGCGGGUUGAGGUGGUUUAUUCUGCCUUGGCCCGGCGUGCUUCAUUACAUUCGGGAGCGGGCUGUUAAGUCAGGCCGUUUCCAUUAGACCGUGAACAAAUGGUGAGGCUUAAACAGAGGGCAAUUGGCUCGUUUGGCCUUUUAGCAUGGGAUCUUAGAAUAUGGGAGAGACGGGAGGGCGAGUGGGAGACCGCUGGCGUUUCAGCCUUUUCAAUGGUUAAUGAGGGUAAACGGGGAAGUUAAUAUUGAGCGGCUAGAGGUGAAAUUCUUGGAUUCGCUCAAGAUUAACAUCAGCGAAGGCAUUCUUCAAGAAUACGCCUGUCAAUCAAGAACGAAAGUUGGGGGAUCGAAGACGAUCAGAUACCGUCGUAGUCUCAACAGUAAACGAUGCCGACUAUGAAUUGGAUAUUGUUUUAAUGAGGGGGUUCGCUCGCUCAUGAUGACUUCUCCAGCGCAUUAUGAGAAAUUAAGAGUCUUUGGGUUCCGGGGGGAGUAUAGUCGCAAGGCCGAAACUUAAAGGAAUUGACGGAAGGGCACCACCAGGCGUGGAGCCUGCGGCUUAAUUUGACCCAACACGGGGAAACUUACCAGGUCCAGACAGCGUAAGGAUUGACAGAUUGAUAGCUCUUUCAUGAUUCGUUGGGUGGUGGUGCAUGGCCGUUCUUAGUUGGUGGUGUGAGUUGUCUGGUUGAUUCCGUUAACGAACGAGACCUUUGGGUAAAAAUAGGAGGAGGAUGGUGGUGAUAAGGUGGCACUGGCGUUGGUGGGAUACGAGCAAUCGCCCCGCCAACAGUUGGAGUUACUGCAUUUCCGUUCUUCAGUUUCCUUCUUUUACCGACAAUCGGUGACAAGCCGAUGGAAGUUAAAGGCAAAAACAGGUCUGUGAUGCCCUUUGAUGUUCUGGGCUGCACGCGCGCUACAAUGACAGCGUCAACAAGUAUUCGCUGACCCGAAAGGGCUGGCUAAUCUUUGAAACACUGUCGUAAUAUGGAUCGCUGAUUGCAAUUAUUCGGCGUGAAACAGGAAUGCCUAGUAUGGUCGCUUCAUCAGAGUGACCAGAUUACGUCCCUGCCCUUUGUACACACCGCCCGUCGCUUGUACCGAUUGGAAAGCACGGUGAGAACAAAGGAGAGGGAGGUUUCGGCAUUAGU
rnacentral:rRNA from 1 species